AGAGUUUGAUCCUGGCUCAGGAUGAACGCUAGCGGCAGGCUUAAUACAUGCAAGUCGAACGGUAACAUGGUAGCAAUACUGAUGACGAGUGGCGCACGGGUGAGUAACACGUAUGCAACCUACCCUUAACAGGGGGAUAGCUCUCCGAAAGGAGGAUUAAUACCCCAUAGUAUGAUGAUGUGGCAUCACAUUGUUAUUAAAGAUUUAUUGGUUAAGGAUGGGCAUGCGUCUGAUUAGCUAGUUGGUAGUGUAACGGACUACCAAGGCGACGAUCAGUAGGGGUUCUGAGAGGAAGAUCCCCCACACUGGUACUGAGAUACGGACCAGACUCCUACGGGAGGCAGCAGUAGGGAAUAUUGGUCAAUGGGGGCAACCCUGAACCAGCCAUGCCGCGUGCAGGAUGAAGGCCUUCUGGGUUGUAAACUGCUUUUGACAGGGAACAAAUGCCACUUGCGAGUGGAGCUGAGUGUACCUGUAGAAUAAGCACCGGCUAACUCCGUGCCAGCAGCCGCGGUAAUACGGAGGGUGCAAGCGUUAUCCGGAUUUACUGGGUUUAAAGGGUGCGUAGGCGGCCUAUUAAGUCAGUGGUUAAAGACUCCAGCUUAACUGGAGGGCUGCCAUUGAUACUGAUUGGCUUGAGUACAGACGAGGUAAGCGGAAUUGAUGGUGUAGCGGUGAAAUGCAUAGAUACCAUCAAGAACACCGAUUGCGAAGGCAGCUUACUAGGGUGUAACUGACGCUGAGGCACGAAAGCGUGGGGAUCAAACAGGAUUAGAUACCCUGGUAGUCCAA
rnacentral:rRNA from 1 species